rnacentral:lncRNA from 10 species
GUCCACAAAUUAUGUAGCCAGCCCUAUGCAUUUGCACAAGGAAACAUGAACAAGAAUGUCCAUUUUAGCAUAAUUGUAGAGGUUAAAAAGAAGGAAAAUAAUCCAAUGUCCAAGAAUAGGAACAUGGAGAGAUUACGAUAUAGUCUAUAGGAUGGACUACUGCAUGGCAGUAUUAAGUAUAUUAAAUAAAUUAACCAAAUCCAUAGGUACAUAGAAGGAGAUAAAAAAAUUGAGAAGAAAUUCAAGCCGAAGAUCAUUACAAGAUAUAAGAGCAUGCAUCUAUGUAAUUUUAUAAAACACCCCAAAAUUCAUUAUUUAUGAACACAUUUAUAUAUAUGGUAAAGUAUAAACUCAUCCACCAGGCACACACCAAAUUCAUGACAGUGAUUUUAUUUAGGGAGAGAAAAAGAGAAUGUCACCAAGAUGAAGAAAAUGGAGGAUUUCAUAUUUAAUUUUAAUCUUUUAUUUCUUAAAAAAUUUUUAUAAGAAAAUGUUUAGUGCUGAAUUUUAUAACAAAAUGUUUCGUGCUGAAUGCAUGAGUUUGACAUGCUGUUCUUAAUGCUCUCUAUAUUUUUUAAUUAAAAAAACUCCUAAUUUAAAUAAAGUAGACCAGCCAUUCCUUCCACUAUCCCUCCAUUCCAAGCACAAUUUCUAUAAAGCAGAAAGAAAAUUUGGUGAGAAUGCAGAGGGGAGCCCUCCAUGCAUAUGUUUCUUUGAACAGGAUACUAAAACAUGAUUUUACCUACUUAUCAAUAUGAGAGAGAUGGCAGAGAGGCCUGGAGUAAAUCUCCUCAAUGUUUGCGAAUGAAAGUUAUGCACAGACCGUUGGCUAAUCAUCGGAUUGGCACAGAAAGACCCCGGUUUCCAGAGUAAUGUUGAUUUUUAACUCUCUUAAAUUGACUUUUUAAAAAAUGCAUGUGACUUUUAUGUCCUGAAUUUGCUAAUAAGUCAGACCUUUGGAAUCUUCCAUUACCUUCUGGAGGAUGGUUACAUUCUUGGCCCUGGACCAAACAAGAGCACAGUGGUGAUUUACUGACGCAUGCAGCCCCGCAGUCCUGGCUCACACACAGAGCUGUAAUAGCUCUUUAAACUCUGAGGGCUUGAGUUCCAAUUCAUUUACCAUAAGCACAAUAUAACAUGGAAAUUAUUUUGGCUGCAGAGGCAAAUGUAGCCCAUUCAUGUAUAAAACCAUUGCAAUAAAAGGAAAAGAAACUUAAUCUAGGAAAGUGAUGCCUGUUUUUGGUUUCUUUUCUAAUUCUCUUUCUUUCUAGAUGCUGGCUCGUUACUGGGAAUUUGGCUGCUAUUUGAGGCCUGGCCCUCUUAAGAGCAACACAGUGCUGGUAAUAGUCCCUGGAAGAUUGCACUCAGGAAUACAGGAGAGUUCUUAGCAUGACUGAGACCAUAUAGCCAUUUACUUGGAAGCUGAAGUUCCUGUCAUGGAUGUCCUAACACCAAGCUCAGUUCUGCAGCAAAGCAAAAGUGUACUCACUGGGCAGACAGACACCGAUUACAGGACUCUCUCUAGAGACACGGCCAUACCCUGAAUCUAUUUACUGCCCCCGAACAUACUAGGCACCAGGCACUGUUUAGAGAGAAGCCCCAUUGCUGCAAUUGGAAUAGCCCUGGCCUAGCAGGGCUAUUCCUUGUCCCAUUGCAGAUCAUUAUUUUCACUAUACCUCAUAAAAUUAGCGUUUUUAAAUGUUACUAAAUGGUAUUUAUACUUAUUUUUAAUACUGUGUAAUGUUUCAUCCAGUAGUUAGGUAUACCUUAAAUAUCUAAUCACUAUUUUAUCAUCUGUUCAACAUUUAAUUUUUUCAAUUUUUGAGAAUUACAAAUGCUACAAAGAAUAUUUUUGCAAAUGGCUCUUUUUUUUUCUUUUUUUCGGGGGUUGUGGGUGGUACCAAACUAUUUAAAGAAAGGGUACAAAUGAAAGAACUUAUGUGUAUGUUUUGGUAUAUGUGUUUCCCCCGCCCCCACCACCAAAUUAUUCUCUUAGAGUUAUUCUCACUAGUGCUCUUACUAAGUCAAAGUCUAGAAAAAUUUUUAAGUCCUUUUCAUUUUGUUUUUUUUAAAGGGGUAUGCCAAUUUAUAAUGUCAAUACUGAGUGUUGCUAUUUUAAAAUUUUAGUCUAACUUUAUAUAAUACAUUUUUAAGUACUUUCUUGAUUUUUUUCUUUUGAUUUUCUCAGUUCCAGCCCUGUCACAUUCAGUGCCUCUGCUGUCACAUUACUUGACCUAACCAGCCCCUGUCAAAGCAAGAAAGUUGCUGGGUUUUGCUGGUAACCCAUCCCACUUAACCAAAAGGGCCCAGAAGUUUUUCUUCCUAGGAUAAAAGCAGGACACUUCUUGUGGAAAAUACAACCAAUAUGGUUUGAAUAAGGGUUGCUGGACGCUGUUUUCCUAUUGACAAAUCCUUCUGUUCUGCAGGUACACAGGGGUGGGAUGGCUGGAGGAUGGGGAAGGGAGAGGAUCCAAAGGCACUAAGAACUGUCUUGGCCUUUCUACAAUAAAUUUCCCAGCAUGACACAGAAGCACAGUUACACACUUGCACACACACCACUGAGCCUCCCAAGUGUUGAAAUACUACAUCCAGGCAUAUAUUAAACUAACAAAUUUAAAAAGAAACUACCAUGUCCAGCAAUACUCUAAUCAUCCAAAGUAGUAAUAGUAAAGGUAACUGAUGCUAAUGUCUAUUAAUGCCCCAAAACAUUUAAAAACUCAAGAAGAAAAAGAAAUCUACCCUGAUAAAUAUGAAUAUAUGUUUUUAAUUUAUGCUUUUCUUUAUUUUUAAUUUAUGCUUUUCUUGAAAAAUUAUUGUCUUCCAAUGAUUAAUUCUUUUGAGUCAGGGUGAUGUAUGGUUUUGCCCUGAAACUUUCUUUCUAAAAGAAAUCCCUAGUCUCAGUUUGCUUUCUAAACAAAUGACAGGAGAAACCAUAGGAAAAUGUAAUUCAAAAUCAAAAAGGCUCAUAAGUUUCACUUUCUGAAAAAGUUGCCAGCACCUGGAUAUAUAAAAUUAUACUAUUUCUACAAACACAAUCCUUGAAUUGGAAGCUGGCCCAGAUUUCUACUUCCCCAGAUUCCUACAUUCCCUGUGCAACCCUCUUCAAUCCUGGGCUUGGUGUCUUUUUGGCUUUUCACCAGUAUUCAAAACGUUCCCCUAGUUCAGGCUCUGCAGCCAGCUGUCCAGGAGGCUCCCUGAUGGUUGCAUUAACAUCCUGGGGCAAUACUGCCGUCGUGUGGGCAUGUAAAAUGCUGCAGGUUCAUCCCAAAGUGAAGUUGCAUUUUCCCAACUACAGGCACAAAUGAGUCUUCUCUCUGCUCUUUCACUUCUAGGUUAAUGGGACUCCUGGGUGACUGAAGAUGUCAAGAGGGUUUUGGGUAGACAAUUUGUAGUGCCUGUUUGUCCUGUCUCUGAGAUCUUGAAUAAACUUUGGGAACCUAUUGGGUGAGAGUUGUUGGAAAUGUAAAUUUACAAGAUGCAUUCUUAAUAUAUCAGACCUAAUUAAAAAUUUUGCCAAUAAAACAAUGUGGCAACCCUGUACCAUGUGUGAUGGCAUGCUUGUGACUUGAUUUAUCCUUGUAAAAAUGACUUUACUGGAUAUGUGGUCACCAGACCUAAUGGCCUCUGUGAUUUAAUUUUUUAAAUAUGGGAAAUAUCUUUGCUGCCGAAACUCACUAACAUCUUUUUGAACUUUACGGGAAUUGAUGUUUCCAGCUGAAAGAUGGAUUUAGAGUUUGGGACAGAAAACACAGUGAUGCUAAAAACCAAAAGUUAUUUGGAAAAAACAUUUGAAUCAGCACCGAAAUGAUGUAGUUUAGCAAAAACAUUAACAAUAAAACAUUACCUUUCUUGUCAUAAGACUAUUUUCUUUUUUACAAACAGCUUAUAAACUUUCUCUGUGAUGAACCUUCGUAUACAGUUCAGCUGAAGACUAUAAGCCUGUUAGAGUCCCUUGGGAAGAAGAAACCUAUGCAUCUAGGUUGUUCCUAAAAAAGCUGUUGUUCAACUAAGACAUGCUGUCCUUACAGUGCUGUCACCGCCAGAAAUAAUCUUUAAUUCUGUCUUCUUGGUGUGAAUUCUCAACUAGUAAAACUCUAUAUUGAAAUGCAAAUUAGCUCUUCCGAGUACAAGCUUGUAAAAAUGUCAAAACACCUCACAAAAAUUCUAAUUGCCACAUAAUUAGGUAUCUAAACAAAAGUUCUAUGCUGAUAUUUUAAUUUUGCUUCAUUGCAAUAAUGUACAUUCAAUAAUGGGCCCAACUAGGACAAGGUGAUAAGUUAGGGAAGAAAGUAGCUAAUAGCACCAAAUAAGGAUGCCCCUGAACCCAGAGCCUGGCAGAAAAUAGAAUGGACUUCCAGAGAAACAUCAUGGGGCCUAGGGAAAUAAACACCGCUUAGGGAGAAUUAGAUUAGCCAGAGUACAACAAACUUCCAUUACAAGCUGGAAUUUCUUUUAGAAGGAAUACAUGAAAGUGUGUCUUUAUAAAGAGGUGGUAUCCUGGAGUGAGCACUAAAUCAGUCUAAUGCCUUCAAUCUUCUUGAUUUCCCCCUACAGAACUGUACUUCUUAUUAAUGUUUGUAAUGACCACCUGUGGCACUGUAGGAUGCUGAAUUACCAAAGAAAGAUUAAAUUAUGUCCUAUUGAUGACACUUAAUAGACGUCUAGCAGGUGCACAUGUUACAGAAUGAUAUUUGACAAAUGUAGAAAUGAUAAGGG